CCUGGAGCGGGGGUGGGUAGGAAAGGGAGAGGGCGGGCGCGCGCACCCGGCUCGCGGCCCCUCCAGGCGUCCGUGAUUGGUGCGCGCGCGCGAGGGGAGCACGAGGCGCUCGCCCUCGGGGCGGGGGCUGAGCCUGAGGGGAGCGCUGAGGGAAGGGCUGGAAAACCCCCAAGGAGCCUACGGAUUUUCUAGGAAGUGGCAGGAAAGCUCAAGAAGUGGCUUCGGAACAGGCUUUGUGCUGGCAAAGCAGCUUCAGCAGAACCAAAGCAGUUUUGGAUGAGGCAUACCAGACCCUAGUGAAGAGGAAGAGUGAUGUAUGAGUUAGGGAUGCCAAAGUGGGACAGAAGAGAUGGAGAUUUCUUUUGUCUUUAUACCUCAGCUCUUCAUUUAUGAAAUAAAAUCCUUGAACUCAGGCACAGAUUAGGAUGCUGGAGAGGAGACAUGCAGUUACUGCUGGAGAUGGCUACUCAGGACUGCAGAGUCCUUUCUUUUUCAGGACUCUGUUCAAGUACCUGUCAACAUUACUGAUGUUAAAUAGCUAAACAGAAAAAAACAUGUGUGAAGAAGUGGUGAAAAUAGCAAAAAAAAAUUGCCUUCCACACAGGCCCUCCUGUUUCCAAGUGCUUGAGCUUCACACUGGUUUGUCAUGACAGCACGAAUAGCAGGACUUGGGGUUUUUCCUAAUUAGAGUUAUUUGACUAUUUUUUUUUUCUAGAUUGCUAUCAGUGUAGAAAGAAAAGGCAGUAAAAUCAGAGAAAAGAGACAUUUGUUCUUCCUGGAUAUAGAGAAAUCGACCCACUUUUAUUAGAUAAGAAAACUCCAUCUUGUUGCUUCUGCUGUUUCACUGACAGUUGUCAAAAAACUUUGCUUCAAAGCCUCCAUUAAUCUCUUCCAAUAUAUCAGAGAAUUUAAAAGGAGAUAGGAAAACUAUGAACUAUUUUUUUACAACCUUUUUAUUACAACACACCCUUUCUUAGUGUGAGUUUAGCUCGGGUUUCAGUCCUUUAAUGACUUCCAUUUUGAUAAGUACCCUGGAUCCAUGUGAGGGCCACAAGCGUGUUCCCUUCAGACAUCUGCACUGCUCCUGACACCGUUUAUUGGUUUCAUGCUUUCUCAGCAGCGAGCAACUCGCAGCCAUUCAUUGCUGAUUUUACAAAAAGGGUGUAGCUCACUUGAAAACAGUUCACUGCGUUUUCCAGCAAACAUGCUCUCUCUCCUGGGGAGCCAUGAGUGGGCAGCACAAUAAAGACAAGAACAAAAUACUCCCAAGAGAACCUGUGAUAUGCAUAAGCCUUGAAACUCCUGGUUGUGACAUGUACUGUGGUACAGCACCAGCUUCAGAUGUAGCUGCCACCCACAGAACAAUACACCAUGACGUCUUUCAACUUUCAAUAAUCUUUUAAUUGCUAUAUUGGCAUAAAAUGAGUGGAGUGGAUUUUGUGUGAAAUGCUCAAAAUCAUCCAGAUGAAUGGCCUUCCUUCAGAAACAGUCACUGAUCGUGCCUGGGAGUUGCAGGAAUUCAGUUUGCCAGUCUUCUUCAAAAUGAGCUUCCUUUUUGGGACGGGAUUUGGCCAAGUGGAGGUCUGCGUGAGCUUCUCUUCAAACUCUGACAUGGGCCUGGCAAAUCCACCACCUUGGAAGAGCAAAGGACCGCCAGCAGCAGCACAUGGGACCCCUCUGUCGUGAAUUCCAGUAGGACAUCAGGGAUCUCAGCUAUACAGCUCAUCAAAACAUGUCAUGCCUCACAGCCAGACAUCUGAUGAUGCACGGAGUGAUUCAUUGCUGCAUCUGGGCAGGAGCAUGAGAGUGACCACAGCACUCAUUCCUCUGCAUAUCAUUGUGGGAUCUGUGCCCCAGCAGCCUGGGAAAGCUUGUGCUGCCAUUUGGAGAAAUGCCAGCAGCAGAUUCAGCGGCAGCUUGGAGAACCAAAGCUGUGUGGUACCCAAUAGAAUCACAGCUACAUUACACAAAUGCUGAAACAACUAAUUUAGGAACUAACUUCAAGAAGUGCUGCUCUGGAUCCAAUGUGCACCUUUUCUGCUGAAAAAACCAAAAGAUCUCCUGAGCUACUUUGCAGUUCUCAGCACCGCAUGGGAGCAGAGAAAGUAUUGUAAGCAAGUUGGACCAAACAGAACAGUGAGUUCUGUGCAGCUCCUCUUGGAACUGAGUGAAGCUCUCUCAGGUAAUGCUGAGCCUCCCUGCUCACAGUGAGCAGAAGUUUCAACAUGGCAAAAACCAACUAUGGAAUUCUUUCAACUGAUAUGAAGAAACCAGGGUGGGACAGUACAUGUGAAGAACAAAUACUGAAUGAUAAACAGAGAGAAGCAAAUACUGUCCAAACCAGUAGAUAUUUACAAAUACACAAACCCCCAAGCUCUAACAACACUGGGUGAAAAACUACUUUGCCCAUUCCCAGCAGAAGAGAACUUUAGUUCCACAAAUAAAACAUUACUGGAAUUUGCUUUAUCAAGUGCAAAGAAGAGCAAAAGUUGGGGAUCAGUUCACAAUGGUCUUGCAGAAGCUGUAACUGCUUUUCCUUCCAAUUCUACUUUAUUCAGUACAAAUAUUUUUAAGGAUCUACAUCCCUGUUUUGUUCUGCCUCAUUUGGGCUAAUCGCCAGAAUGGAGGAUCAACAGAUUAAGAGAACACAGAGUUCUCAGGAACCAUCACCAUUCUGUAACAACACAGAAAAAUCAUUAUAGGAAACAGGUAGGAAACUAUUAUUUUGUGUCCAAAAAUCUGAGUACUCAUAAUAAAGGACUUUCAGUUUCACAAAACAGAUCAUGAAUAUGCCCAAUUCCAUCUGAAAGCCAUUUACAUCAAUGCAUACCUUUCACAGGUGUAACAUUCGCAGUAUUCAUUGUUUUCUCCAAAAAACCCAUCUCCGUAGUAACAAGAGAUUUCUUCUCCAGGUUCAAUAUCUCGUAGAGCUUUCACACAUGCUGUAUCUCUGCCUGUUGAUACGAACUGGAGAAGCAGAUGACAGGAAGGGAAAAAAAGAUUAAUCACUAAGGUUGCACAGUAUCUGAGUAAGGAAUAAAACUAAAACAGUUGGGGAAGAAAUGUUGGAAGGACAAAGAAAUAGAAAGUAGGGUACUUUAUUUAUUUAUAAUUUCUUGCUUACCUUACAGUUAGGUCUGCAAUCUGAAAAAGGUCCAAAAGAUAAAGUCAAUUAACUGUGGAUAAGACCUGAAACAUGAAUAGUUGUAGAUAUCUAAAGUAAGGAUUCACUUUGACUUCAAAAACUGCAGAAUCUCAACUAAAUACUGGGAAUUAAGUUAGUACUGCACAAAGCCAUACACAAAAAGAUUCCUGCUUUGGUAUAGCUGCAUUUCUGAGCUCUCCCCUAUGCUAUCACGAAUGUCCAGUUUCCCUCCUCUUUAGGGUAAACAGUUUCAUCUUAAAUCCUACCCGCUCUUCCUUUGGUACACAAAUGCAACACAAUCAGCUAAGCUUCUGCAAAAGGUUAAAGAGCCAUAAGAAGUUCACCUAAUCAAGAUGUUACUGUUGACUGAGUUCACAAAGAAUUCAAGGUAACCCACAAUAUGCUCCACUAACUGAGCUGCUAGUUCCAAAGUCUCUUUCAAGGAAGACAGCAUCGCUUCCUAGAGCCUUCUCUGAGUUUCACAACCAAUCAGCUCUGGCUGGGAAAAUCCCAGUAUGAUUUUGUCCUACAUUAAUAUAGCAUGCCAGAUUCAGACAUUUUUCUCCAAGUUCUUGUGCUGUUUGGCUCAUAUACAACACUUCUGAGUUUCUUAUGCUCUUCAACAUGCUUCCUAUACUUACUACUCACCAUGAUUGAUAAAUGCAGCAGGACCAAGCCAUAGUUGUGCACAGUUUUUUCGUGUGGAAUACAUGACACUGAAGUCAUUUUCCCCAUGUCUCAGCAGCAUGUUUUCUUCCAUUUCUGAUAGUUCAGCAAUACAGCCCACAAGUAAUUCUAUUUUAUCAUUUCGUUUCCUUUAAUGUAAAAAGAGUAGCAGAAAUAAGACUACACGUGCCAGAAUUAUAAAAUAAUUUCACAGAAAGAAAAGUUGUUAUGGGAUCAAUUACAUCAAAUCUGACGUCAGAAACAAUUACAACCAUUGUUUCUACAAUUUCCUGAGGCUGCUUGCAAGAGUUGAUUACUUCAGCUUCUGCAAUUGUUAAAACUAAAAGCAAGAUCUUUUCAUUUGUGUACACUCCCUCCCCAUCACCACUUGAGAAAUUGACUUCCUCCAGCUGCUCUUGCUUGUGUUUCCUAAACUUCUUCCUGUGACCAGGAAAACCGAGCAUAAUGAAAAUGCUUAGAGCUUCACGGCUUUUUAAAUGAGGCCCAGUAGUGACUGGGCCUCAUUUAAAAAGGAAUUCAAGCAGGAUGUUUUCCUCACUCAUGUUCUUCAGCAUGAAGCUGGUCCUUGAAAUAGAGUGAGGAGGGGGAAUGACACCUACAAAAAUCAACAAAACCAUGAAGCCUUUGUGUGCAGACAGCCCGUGUGCCAUCACGCCUAGAGCAGUGCAGAGGCACUGAAUGCUUGGCCUAGCAGGAGCACAUUUCCUUGCACGGGUAUUUUUUCCACUGCUCUUCAAAGUGGCCAUUCCAUAUUACUCUGGCAGAGAUGACCAUGGAGAUGCUAAAGGUAUAUGAAGAACACAGACCAAAAGCAAAGCCUUUUAAGUGCAAAUUUCUCUUUUGACAGAGACUGCUGAGUACUCUAAUCUCUAGUUUUGAGUCUUGACAGGUUUCCAGAUAUCAGCAGGGUUCAGAUGCAGCCCUCCUGUCUUGCUCACUCCUCAGGCUACUCUAGAUUUUCAGCAUGCAAAGUUAAUCUAUUUUCAACACACCCACAUGUAAAGCUUCGACCCAAAAGAAUCAGCCAAGGGGUGAAUUCAAACAUCAUCAUCAACAAAAAAAACCACCCAAGCAAACAAACAAACCCAAAAAAAACCCAAAACCCAAUCAGUAUUUUUUGGGUUGUAUCGUGAUUGUGGAACUCUCAGCUCUAGUCAUGAAGAGUCCUCAGUGUAUUUAAAGUUUCCUCUACAACAUGUGCAGGUUGUGUUGCCACCAGCAGGGUGUCUGGCCACUCAAUCCCAGUGUGAACAUAACCUCAUUUCCUCACCUCAGGUGUGCUGGUAUGAACGGCUACUGCCACAAAGCAAAGCUCAUACAAUUGGUGUCUACAUUUGAAGUGAUUUUAAAAUCUGAAUCUGCUGCUGCCACACACAUGCUUAAAAUGUUAACUCAGAUGUGCCAAAAUGAGAUGGGGCACAUGGGUUCCAGCCUUGUGCUUCCAGGAGAGAUUUAUUUUGCAGACUCAAAAUAUGCGAACAACACCAGUUUUAAAAAGGCAAAAAAACUCAUUUCCCCCACAAAAUGUUAUUGCUGUGUAACAAAUCUGCCAUAAUGUCAUGUUUCUCAGGAAGUCUAACAACUCCCGAGUAGAGAAAAACAAUUAACUGACUGAAAACAAGAUUUUUUGAAAAAAGUAUAAUGAACACUAUAUGCAUAAACCCAAACAUACAUAGGACUACCUUCCAGAGGCAUGGAUCCUGUAUUAAGUACUUAGCAGAAACAGAGAGAAAAUUCAGUUUUCAAGUAACAACAGAAAACUAUCUAUUUCACUGGUUACAGUUUUAAUUCCAAUCACACUUCAAAAUAUAUUUUUACAGAUUCUUUCAAAUAAUUGACAGAAACAGAACACAACAGUAAACUGUAUUUCUUACCAUUCUUUUGUUGCAACGAUUUUGGCUCCAUUUUGCUCAGAAGAAUACCGAUUACAAGGCAGUAUCUCAAACCCACUGUCAGUUGCAAACAUUCGUAAAUAAAUAAAUACCUGCAAUGAAAAAACCCAGUACUUGUCUGUUACAUGCAAAAUGAAAGCAGUGAGGAACUUCUUACAUAAAUAAUGAAAGUGAACUGUACAAAAACACACACAAAAUGGAUACUGGAGCAGGAUGCUGUCUGCUGAAAUGUGUUUCAAUACAUUUAAGCUAUACAUAUUAUGUUGAUCAUAUUUCUCCACAGUGACUUGCAGGAAUCGUCACACAGGUAUUAAGAUUAUCCAAAGAGUUUAAGAAAAUUAAAGACACCUGGAGUGGUACAAAAUUGGUCUACUGAAAAUGGAUCAUUUUUUUCUUAAAAUCACUGAAUAGUCGCAUUCAAGAAAUCUCAUAUCUUUAAGAACCACUGAGACUUAAUAAUCUCUAGAAAUCCAUUUCAUUGUUUGAAGUUCUGAAAAAUGAUAUUACUUCCACAACAAACCUAGAUACUGAAUUCAGGGACUCUUGAAAUCUUUUUUUUUAGGUUGAGGUGUGACUGUGUUACUCUAAAAACCACUCUAACAAGGAAGAACUUUUUCUGCUAAAUCUUUCUUGCAUUACUAGAUUUGGUGCAUUUUAAAGUAGGCCACAUUCCUUUUUGAUGUACCUGGAAACAACAGACUCAUUCUUGAAGAAGCAUCUUUUUUGUUACAUAAACAGUACCAUGGUUUUUUUUCCUUUGAACUUUGAGAAUCAAAAACUGUUAUGCUACAUACAAAAUGGAUUUGGGGCAUGGGAAGUGGAGGAGGAACAACCCUUAUGGGUAUAGACCCUAUACCCAUAACAAAUGGGGUAUUUUGAGGUAACAAGGCUACUCCCUUUUCCUUUAUCUUCCUUUGUCGCCCAAUUUGAUUGUCACCCAGUGGAAAGUAAAAACAAAAACCUAAACCAAACCCCAAACAAACCACAAUACAAACAAAUUAUGAAGGGGAAAAAAAACUCCUUCCUUUCUACACGCUAUUAAUAAAAGGCAAUACAAGUUAACAAGAAAAAAAAAGGGGAGGGUGUGUCUAGUUAGUCUUUAAAAACCAAAGCAAGUUUCUCUUAAAAGACAGUAAAACAACAUAUAACAGAGCACUUGAUUGCUUUACUAUUGCUACAUUCUUAAGAAAUUUUUACUUUUUCUUUGCCUUUCAACCAUCUGAAAAAGCACAUUAAUUACAAAUACACCUACAUGUUCCUUGAACAACCUUUCCUGCAUUUUGUUCUUGUUAAGAAAAUAGUGCCGGGCCCAGUCACCUGACGUCAAGGACUUGAAGGCUUUUUCUAAGUGCUCAUCUUUCUUAAAACGUUCAAUCACCUCUUUGAGUUCUUCUUGCCUUCCUUUAAUAGGUCGAAAUCUGAAAUAAAAAAUAAAGCUAUUCCAGUCCACCAUCAGCCAUUCUUAAUUCUUCCUCAGUUACAGCACACAAUUCUUUUGCUACCCAUAUAAAUAUUUAACUCCCUGUAUAAAGACACUGAGCAACUUUUGCCAAAUCCAAAGCCUUUUUAUACUGAUAAAGUCACUACAUGGGUUUAUGUGGAUUGCAAAUUUAACACGUGCAUUCAUAUAAAAUACAACUCUUAAUCACAACACAAGAAGUAUCUACAAAUACUAACACACGGCAGAUGCUACAUCUGUGGAAGAUUAAGGCUCCGAAAGUUAGUGCAAUUUUAAGAAUUCUUCUCCGCAAACAGGAAAUCUUGGGCAUGUAAACAUGAAAACAAACACCUGUACAUUAGCAGAGACUUCUGCCUUCUUCCCAAUGCUUGAGAUUUAAGAAAAGCUACCCUUCAUAUCUUCAGUGGGAAAAAGUAACAGUAAAAAACCUGCAUGACUGCCAGAAGUGGAAGCUCCAUUUUUGAGCUGCAAAACCACCAGGAGAAAGCAGCCCUUAGGUAUUUUGCCAAAUCCCUGUAGAUUGCCUUUGACUGAGCACAUACCCAUAUGUAUGGGUAUGCUCUGCUUUGGGGCAGAGGUGGGGUGUGGGUAUUCCUAAAUGCAUGCCACACCCCAGGGGACUCUUUACAAAGAUAAAAAUUUCCCAGGAUCAUGGGAAACAGUUUUCUGCAGCUCUUUUUACAACUCAAAUAUUCUGCUUACAGAGCAUAUGACAGAAGUGCUAAACAAACCAAGAGUUUUGAGAAAACAUAUAAGAGUAAAUCCUGUUACUUGUUGCGGGAAAUGCAUUACUAUGCUGAUGUUAUUUCUCUUACUUGCCAAAUGAAAUCUGUAUUUCAUUACAAAAGUAAACAAAGGGGGAAAAAAUUCUUGAAGUUGAUGGAAGGAAACCUCAAUCAAUUUUCUCACUGAUAACCCUGUUUUUUAAAUUGCCAUAUGAACUGGCUUAUUGUCACCUUAGAAUGCUGAAUGUUACAAGUAACUUAUUUUAAUAAGACCACAUAAGAUUUGCCUCUUCCACGCGAGUUGUAUAAAGGAAGCAAAAAAGUGUUACCUCCUGAUUUUGUUUCACUUUGUAAAAUACUAAGAGUCUAAUCAGAAAUAAGUAACAACCAUGAGGAUUCAAUUUCCUUCCUCAGAAGGAAGAUGCUGUAUUUAUGCACCUGAUACAACAAAGACAGAUCGCCAAAGAGCAGAAUCACUUUCAGCAGGUUAUCAACGUUCCAUGCUACUGCUUUUAUAAAUCUCUCAAAUCUCUAUCUGAAAAACUUCCUUGUGACAUAAUAACUAACCUUUUAGACCUUUUUGAAUCCAGCAAAAUUUAUCAGCAUAAACCUGUGAGCUUUCAGAGGACAUGGCAAGUAAGGAGUUCUGAGCAGACACCAGGUUCAGUUCUCUUUUGGCUGGGAUAUGACAUUGAACAAGACAGCAGGAAUCAGUCCAGAUGAACAAAUGCCUGCUUACAACUGUAGCACACACCAUGCCAUGAAGUUUCAAAUCAAGUUCUUUUUUAAAGACUAUACUUGUACUGUUAUCCCAAAAAGGUAACUACCUAACAAGCUGAUGGGACCUUAUCAUGCAAGAAAACUCCCCUAAGACUAGAGAUGACACAAUCAUUAUUUUUUAUUCUGCAGCACACCAAAGUCUUCCUCAACUUGCCAGUCACACAUACAAAUAUCUCUGCUCUCCCAAAUCCAGAAAGACUCUGCCCAGAUUUGAUAGUCAUAACUCACAGAGCUUCCUCGUGCAUGAAGGGAAUUUAAAAUCAUGUAGCCUGAACUGAACCUGACUAGUUUCAGAACAGGAUUUGCACUCAAUUUCAAUUUCAACCAGAAACAACUUUCCCAGCAAGGAGCCGACUGCACUUACACCAGGAGAAGUAGGGAGCUCACCAAUUUGCACAAACAUGUAACAGUAAUACGUUGCUUACACCUCUAUCUGCAAACACUACACAUGGGAAAAACCCACAGGAUUUCCAGUUAGAAUUGGUCUUCAGCUAUGUCUGUUUCUGCUGGCCUACAUGAAUGACUGCCCUCUCCAUUACACUGUAUUUUACAUGUUGAAAUACACCAUUUUUUAGCUAAGUGACAUGCAGGACCAAAGAUGGGUGGAAAAGCCAUCACAUUCAAAAUUGCACUAGCACAUGAGACAGACAAUGUAUGUGCUGAAACACAUCAUCAUACUUAUUUAUCAUCAAGAAGCUUGGUCUAGGCUAGCUAAGAAAGCAGUAUCCCAACUGAACCACCAGUGUGGAAAAGAAAUACAGAUAAAAAGAAGAGCAGAUGCUAAGCUUAACAGUGGCUCUCAAGACCUACAGAAAAAGAAUCAACACCCACUAUUUUCUAGCAAUUUGAAGCACAUCUUACAGCCCCAAGUGCUCAUAUUUUAGCUGUUUCACAAAACAUUAUUCUCAAGAGGCUGACUCUAACAUGACCAGCUACCUUAGGUAGCUUGGAACUGGCCCCAGCCCUUGAAGUCACUGGCACACCUCCAUGGAUCACAUUCAGCAGGUGUCUCUAUGGAUUCUUCUCUCAGGCACUACACUGCUGGUGGAAUUCAUUUCAGCGAUUAGCAGAAACUUUUUAAACACCAUUCCUGUGAGGUAAAAUAGCAUAUGCCCAGGCCCUUCAAUGGCCAAAAAGAUGGCUGGAAACAAGAAAGGGAUGAAGAGAUUUUAGAAUCCUCAAGACGUUACAAGGUCUGAUGAACGCUGGACUUCAUGGCAGGCAUUUCAAACAGGAACUAGGGUUUUUCAAAGAAUAUGACUCUCUGCACCCAGGGGUUCAAGAAUUAGUACCAAGGACUCUCUGCAGCACCUCUGUCAAAAUGUUGUUCUUAGAUAGUGACAAGACAGAUAUAAUGAGGAAAGAUAAACAGGAAUCCAAACAAGCAAGAAGUAUCCACAAGUGUAUGGAAAGAUGCUGGAAACCAACAUUAUGUUCAACACUUCACUCCAAGGGUUCCCAAACAGAUGAAACAGAAUGUGCACCCUGAGCCUGAGUUAGAGGGCUGCUCACAGUUCAACAGCACAUGUAAAUUGCACUGAGAGCAUAUGAAGUUUGUAAGCAAAUUCAGAAUACUACAGUCCAGACUCCUCAUGAAAGCUUUAGUCUUUCACAGGUGUAUUUCCAUAUAUACUUUAAAAGGUACCUUCUCAUUUGAGGCAGUGAAGAAGCCAAGAAACCCUAGAAGUCCAAUGUUCCUUAAGAAUUUGUGUCUGCUGAUAGAUACUUCAUUUCUCCCAGGAGUAUAAUUAAUUAGUUUAUUCAUUCGUUUUUUGCAACCAAAAUGCCAGUUGAUUUUGAGAAGCAACCUUGCAUACUACCAUUUUGCUGUUACAGGGCUUCCACAUUUACACGCGACAUAAAAAAAACCCCAAAAACCUACACAUCUGCUGGAAGAAUUUAUACACUGUUUCUGAGCUCCACCAUGAAGAGAACCUGAAAAGGCCCCACAGCUAAAUGUAUACAUAUAAAAUGAGCCAAAGAAACUAACUUUUAAUCAGUAAAACAAGUGACUAGUUCAAAGAAGAGAGAUAGAAAGAGCACAAGGAAACCAACAGAACAAACCAGCCAACCCAGUCUCUGAAAAAAAAGGCAAUUAAAAUCAGAAUUGUUUAUCCAGACUUUUGGUUUCCUCGUGUGAAGAGUACCCUUAUUAAAUUCCAUCAUGGAAACUGAACAAGACACAUUGGUGUUUGAAUCUGCUCACAGACACAGACUUCUUGAGCCGCCCUACGAGCAGCUUCACAGGUCAGGUCUCAUGGGACAUAAAGCCUUCUGCAAGACAAGUCAGGUGUUAGAAGUGGGCAAAGAAUGAAAACCUCAGCUACGACAGGGUCUUUAAAGAAAUAGUAUCAGCCCUUCCUGACAACCUGCAGAACAUAAACUUUUCACACUUCCCUAGGAAAUGCUUUUUUUUUCCCUAGUCAACAAGAUCUGAUAAAGCUGUGGCUACUGCAGUUUCAAAACCAGACAGAAGAUGAUCUCAUCCCAACUAAGGGCAAACUGACAUGGUCUCAACAAGGAAGACGUAGGAAAAUGGCCUGGGGAAGCAAAGCUCUUUCUCUCUCAAGUUUCUCUUACCUCAGGAGUACUUAAAGACUCUUGGAACUCCAAGGUAUAAAGCCAAAGGUCAGUGAGAUGCUUGCCUAUAAAGGAAGUUAAAGGAGAGUUUCUGGUAAGUUCAGAAGCACAGUACCUUGCUCAGUCUCAGCCACUGAGAGCAGUGAGUUUGAACAAAAAGGAUAAAUUGAUCCUGCAAGAGAUCCAGUAUGGAACUCCACACAGCAUACAAGUGCAUGAUAAUAAACAAGGUUUGGAAGUAAAACUAAGUUCUGACUAGGGAACAUCAAGAAGAGUGAAUUUAUCAAAACUAUAUCAACCCAUUAGCCUUUUAACAACUGGCACCUUGUCUGGAUGGUAUUUCUAUUUAAGCAGCUCUGGAAAACAGCAUGUUCAACUAGUACCAGAGAUUGAGCACAAAAGCUGAAACUGCAAGCCUGUUAAGCAUUCAAGACAGCAGAACAAGAGUUGAAAAUGAUCGAUUUAAAAUAAGCAUAAACAACUUAAUUAACAUGCAUUUUGGCUUCCUCCCUGCCCAACCCUGUAGUGUAUUUUUUCCUCAAAGCUAGUUAUACAAGUUAUGAUCAACUGGUUCAGCAUUUAUUGCCAGUGUUUUCAUACAGAAAACAAUUAAUGUUCUUUAAAGACCAGAUUUCAAAACAGCACUUCUAAUGAAGAAAGUAAUCCACAUUACUUAAAUUUCUUGAACUGACACUAAAUUGUGGUCAAAACUCCAACAAAGCUGAGAACAGAAAUAAAGAAAAUUCUCACAAUUUAGCAAAUAGGUAGUUUUAAAAAAUAAAUAUGGGGAACACAAGAAACCCCCCAAACCAAAAACCUAACACUGUCCUCUGAUCCUAUUCUGACACUCCACAUGGUAAAUUUAAUUUAGCAGUUAAUCCAGCAUGACUGCUGGAUGCAAGCCAUUCCAUGUUUUGAAGAUGUAACACUUUUUGUUAAAGCUAAAAGUACAAAUAAGAAAACUGUAAAAGCAAGGUGGUGGGUGCUGGUUUGAGGGGCAGGGCAUGGUUGUUUAGGGUGGUUUUUUUAUUGUGAUUUUUUUUUUUAAUUCAAAACAUUUGGGAACAGCAAAACAGUUGGUUCCAAUGUAAUUACUGUGUGAUUUAUAUACAGUGAAGGAAGACAGCAUUAUAUACAGUGAAGGACCAAGGUAAAAGACUUUACUGAAUCAAGCUAUCUGUAAAAAUAAUCUAGAAAAAAUGGAAAAAUCAGAUUUUAUGCAAAAGUCAAAACAAUCUUGUAAAGUAUGCAGACACUGAGGUCUGAAGAAUGUAAAAGCUUCACUUUGAAACAGGACACCACUACAUCAGAGUUGUGUACCUCUAAUCCAGUAUCUCCAUAGCACUACAACACUGAAGCUGAACUGUAUGGCCACAUAACUUUAUUUAGCAGAACCCACAUCACUUUUCCAGCCUCCAGACCUCACUCAAGAUGAAUACUGAACCCUUCAGUUGUUAUACUGAAAUGAGCUAAAGAACACAGAGAAGAUUCAGCACAGGCUCAUAAAUGCAAUGGAACUGCUUUGUGCUUUUUGUCUCUAUGCCUAGUGGUGACUCUAAGGGAUGAGAGUGAUGUUCCCUGUCAAGUCUGGUCACAUAAUCAGUGACUGCUGUUGAGGCAGUGUCCAGAGAAGCAGCUUCCUGUACAUCAUCCCCAAGCACUGAACGUUUCCAAUAGAAAACAUGGAAAUUCUUAAAGCUUGGUCCUUUAGUCCCAUGUAAUCCGACAAAACCACCCACAUCACACACCUGUUUGUAACUUCACUAAAAGCAGCAAACAGACCACAACAUAUCUGACUUCCUAAACCACUUGCAGAUUUGGAGACACACUGGAAGUGCUCUCAGUAUCCCCUAGCAUGAUGCUGGUGCUUUAGGGAACCAGGAAACAGCAGCAAAAUGAUCCAGAGUCUGGCUUAAGGUUUAAACAGUAACACCUUGGUAUGUGAGACAGUAUGAAGAGCCACUAAGGCAUGUGACUUCAAGAUUCAGUGCUCAGCAUAGGGAAAAGCACCCAAAAAUAAGAGAUGGUAAGACAGGCAAGAACUCACUUGGCAUUUUACAAGUGUCAGUUUCAAUCUCUAGUGUUUGUAAACUUUCAACCCAGGAAGAGUAGCUUGCAAAAUGAGUUGUUUUUUAUCACAAACAAAGGCUGAUAAAACAGGAUUUCUACAAGAAGCAACAAAACCUCUUAGAACAGUGAUACUUGACAAGAACAUACUUUCUAAGACAUGGGGUUUCUUUUAUUAACUGCUAAACUGCUAUUUUGUUGAGAUAAGAGCUACAACAUUGAUGAAAGAAUGACAACUGGGCCUGUAAAAAGGGUUGGAAGCUCUGAAAACAUCCUGCUUUCUCUUGGAAAUCCAAGAGGAUGAAAAAAAAUACUUUUGGGUAAAGCCACUGAGGACAUUUCCAGUGCUACAUGUUAUACUGUCCUUCAAAUCCCUAGUGACAGGAAGACAUUUCAGAGGAACACUGGACAAACACAUUAAGGGAUUCAGUUGUAAGCUUUUAAGAAACAGUCUUCAGUUUUUUCAGGCAUUCCUGACUUGACAGUUUACAGAGCCAACAGCCCUAUUCCCAAGAUAGUGGGCAUUCACAAACUGUAGGACUUUAUUUUUAUACACUCAGAAAAAACCUCCAAACCAAAACAGAAUAACGCAGCAAGUUACAGUCAUGUUCUUGUCAUCACCCUACUGUAAGAUCAUUAACUCAAUAUAAAGAAGAUGGAAAACAAGGACAUUUCAACAUCAACCUAGAUACUUUACUUUUUUCUUAAGGUUUUUUUCUUCAAUCAAUAUAUUCUGGACAAAUCAAAUUUACAAACUCUUCAACUGGAAGAAUGAAGUAGAAAAAAUGCUUACAGAGAAGACACUCAUGCAUACAAAAGUACAGACCUGGCUUCCAAGGUAAGAGGAAGAACUUCAGUAAGCGAUCAUCAACUUAAAAUGGGUUGCAAAAAUACAAACCUCUUACAUAUUUCCAACACAGCACAGCAGAAGAGUGGCACAGACAUUUUCACAGGGCAUCUUCAAACAAAUCAGAACAAGGGAGCAGGAAAUCUUUGCUUGCCACCAUAACUGCCUGUUUUACUUUAAGCGCACCUCCACACACAAUCUAUGUAACUAAUAUGACUCCAUGGCACUGAAGCAAAAGAUGCCCAAACAUAAGCUGCAAAUCUUCAAUUCUACUACAUCAUAAUAUUUGGGUACUGGCACCUGGCAUUUCGGAAGCAGUAUAGUUUCUUCAUAUCUGCUUUCCCCCCCACCUUCCCUCAAAGCCAUUAAAACAACACUAAGGAGCUCUAGAAAGACUACCAGUUUACUAGAUGGAAAAAGAUAAUCUAAGCAUCACAGCCACAGUAACAAGCAGGUGUCAUCACUGCACCACAAAGAUAAACAAGAACUAUGCUGAUGCCUGGACUUUAAUUAUUACAGCAUCAGAAACUUUCUCAGUAUGAUAGAGGCAGCAGGUGUGCAUCUGGUAGGAGUUGUAAGCCUCACCUAAGUACUUCCCAUAGUGCUCCAAGAUUAUUAACUACUGUCCUUGAAGACUGCCUGUAACUUCUCCAAGUCAGAGAAAGGAAGAAAUACAUGAUGAUGGUCUCUGUGUAGCCUUUUGAUUCAAAAUAGUAAUUAAAUAAGUAUUUUAGUUGACAACCUGUCAACAUAAAAAACAUUCAUGAAAGUAGCUUCUCCAACUAUUAAACAAUGACUACAUAAUUUCCACAGCAAAAAUCGUAAUAAUUAACAACUUGUACAUAACCUGCAGACUAUCAUUCAUGCAACAGAACAAAAAAUUCCUUUCAGCAUAUAUUCUUAACUUGAUUAACUGAUGAAAAUACAAAGACACUUCAAACUGAACUGUAAGAGUAUCUACCUGGACGUGCUACUGUAACCAAUAGCAGGGAGGGAAGAGGAAACAUUCCAACAUCCUUCUUAAAGGUAGAUGUUGCACUCUCCAGCAAAAAGGAAAGAUCUCUUUGGGGUAAGUCUUUACAGUUAUUAGGACUGCACUGCUGCAAUUUCAUGUGCAGCUGAUGCUGUCAGGCUAUACCAGCAACUAUUUAUGUAACAUGACAGCACCAAUUCAUCUAGCAGUCAUUUUUGACUCAAUCGGUUUGUUGCAUACAUACAAUUUGCUGAACUGAUACUGUGUGCAUAUGACUGCUGCACAGGUGAACUGUCCUUUAAAAAUAGUCACAGCAACAGUUUGAAGGGCUGAGAGUCUGUUUCCCAUGAUGUGCUGCCAGGAAACUCCAGCUCUUAUUAUUGCACAGCAGUAAACACACAGUUCCUGUGCUUAGAAACUUAUAGUUUAUAUACAGUUUCCCCAUUGAGCUAUCAAUACAGAUCCUGCAUGCAGGCAAGCUUAAGAGAGAUCUAUAGAUCCCAGUUAUCAUCAGUGAUACAUCUGUAACAGAGGGAGAAGCACAAACAGCUAAACCCCGAGACCACACAGAAUUCACAACCAAAGCAUUCAGACGGAUGUGUAACAGUGCAAAAGUAGGUGCAACUCUACUAAGCAACUUUGCAGCUGGCACACUCAUUUAUCUUAUCCACACAGACACAUCUGAGCAGCAAUUCCGUCAGCAGGGGUCUGCCAGAACUUCAGAUCAAGUAGCACCAACACUGAACUGCUCAGGAGCUACAUCUUUCUUCCGACGUAUCAGAGCAAGGAAGGAAAAAUAAAGCAUCCAGGCACAUGGAAUAAACAGAAAAGUGACCAAACACUGGCUUCUGCCUGUGAGUAAUUUCAAAUGACUACUGGUUUCAAACUUACAAUCAGUUAACUGUUUAAGCUAGAAAAUGGUGCCUAUUACCAACCUGUUCUACAGCACAAAUACAUGGAAAGCCCUAUGAUGGAGCACUGUGAGAAGCUGCAUUUGUAGUGCCGAGUUCCAGACCCACAUGCAACACCGUUUUAAAGGCAGAAGCAACUCGCAAAUUUGCGUUCUUUCACUUUCUUAAAACAUGCACAAAAUUCCAUGGUUUUGCUGAUUUACAUCAACUAAGAAGAUGAAUUCUUUUCUAGAAAAAUAAAGACAAGUUACCUAGUAUUCAUUUUGUGUGUCUGAAAACCUAAAUAGGGAUCAAGAACCAAACUAGUUGCUAGGUCAUCAUUUUCACAGAGUUCCUUGGCAGACAUUCCAGAGGAAGGCACAUAACGACUUUGUCCCUCAAAUCCUGAAGCACCACUACCUGCAAAUAAGAGAGCACAAAUUAGGUAUCAUUUAAGGGACACUAUAGAGCCCAGCUACAUUUGGGGACAGACAGACACACAGGCUGGAGGCAAAAAAUAUGGAACAGUUGACGAAGAUGAUGAAGUACCUGGAGAAGCAGAAUAAAGGACUGUAAAGGACAUCUGAAUAAAGGGCUAAUUUUUAUUUAAUCCUUCAUCCCAGACCAAUAGCAAAAAUAACAAUCCAAAUUCCUUAAAACCUUUUUAGGAGAAUGGCUGCAGAAUGGCUAUUGAUGUAAGUGACUUGAUUAAAAAAUGGGGUUUACUUCCACAAGUGUACUCACUGAAAGUUGGGCAAGUACUUCAAAUUAUGUUAUCCACUUCAAAUCAAACUAGUUGUCACUUAGUGCCAAUCAUGCAUUUUAUAAUUACAACAGUUCAAAAUUAAUUUACACCCAGUUAUUCUUACUUGACUUUUAAAGUGAUCUGAAGAAAUCUAUAUUCCUGAAGGGAGUUAACACAUCCAGAUAAUACAUACGUAACUAAUAUUUCUGAUGUUAGCUCCAUGCUGACUGCAGACCUCCCUCAUGAAUUAGGCAUGGCAGAAGCCUGGCUGGCAAACUAGGAAGUGAAUCAUAGCAGUGAGCAGCAGAAACAUGUACGUACAUCUGCUUGAUCUUCUCUCAACUCCAUUUUUGCCCGUCUUUGGAUUCUCCUUUCCUGCAUGCUGCAAUUUGGUCUGCGCGUGGUCAUUAGAUGACUUGCUUCCACUUCUCCGGCCAUUCACUACCAUGUUCUUGGAUUCUCCCAGCCACUUCAUACCCACAGACAAUCUGACUCAGUUGCAUUUAGCCACUUUUCAAAAGGCUUGGAGAAGUGGAUGAAUAAAUUCAGUUCCAAUUCCUAC